AAGACCUUGCGCUUUUGGAGCGGCCGAUGCCUGAUUAGCUUGUUGGUAAGGUAAAGGCUUACCAAGGCUUCGAUCAGUAGCUGGUCUGAGAGGACGGCCGGCCACACUGGGACUGAGACACGGCCCAGACUCCUACGGGAGGCAGCAGUGGGGAAUUUUGGACAAUGGGGGAAACCCUGAUCCAGCCAUGCCGCGUGAGUGAAGAAGGCCUUCGGGUUGUAAAGCUCUUUCAGCCGGAACGAAACGGUUACGGAUAAUACCCGUGACUACUGACGGUACCGGAAGAAGAAGCACCGGCUAACUACGUGCCAGCAGCCGCGGUAAUACGUAGGGUGCGAGCGUUAAUCGGAAUUACUGGGCGUAAAGCGUGCGCAGGUGGUUUUGUAAGUCAGAUGUGAAAGCCCCGGGCUCAACCUGGGAACU
rnacentral:rRNA from 1 species